rnacentral:rRNA from 1 species
UACGUAGGGUGCGAGCGUUGUCCGGAAUUAUUGGGCGUAAAGAGCUUGUAGGCGGUUUGUCGCGUCUGCUGUGAAAAUCCGGGGCUCAACCCCGGACUUGCAGUGGGUACGGGCAGGCUAGAGUGUGGUAGGGGAGACUGGAAUUCCUGGUGUAGCGGUGGAAUGCGCAGAUAUCAGGAGGAACACCGAUGGCGAAGGCAGGUCUCUGGGCCACUACUGACGCUGAGGAGCGAAAGCGUGGGGAGCGAACAGG